rnacentral:rRNA from 1 species
CACGUAGGGGCCAAGCGUUGUCCGGAUUUAUUGGGCGUAAAGAGCUCGUAGGCGGUUCGACAAGUCGGGUGUGAAAACUCCGGGCUCAACCCGGAGACGCCACCCGAUACUGUCGUGACUGGAGUCCGGUAGGGGAGUGGGGAAUUCCUGGUGUAGCGGUGGAAUGCGCAGAUAUCAGGAGGAACACCGGUGGCGAAGGCGGGUCUCUGGGCAGUAACUGACGCUGGAGGAGCGAAAGCGUGGGGAGCGAACAGG